rnacentral:rRNA from 1 species
ACUCCUACGGGAGGCAGCAGUGGGGAAUAUUGGACAAUGGGNGCAACCCUGAUCCAGCCAUGCCGCGUGUGUGAAGAAGGCCUUCGGGUUGUAAAGCACUUUCAAANAGGUGAGGAAAGGUUGUNCGUUAAUACNGUACANCCGUGACGUUACCUANAGAAUAAGCACCGGCUAACUCC